rnacentral:rRNA from 1 species
CGUACACUCCUACGGGAGGCAGCAGUGGGGAAUAUUGCACAAUGGGCGCAAGCCUGAUGCAGCCAUGCCGCGUGUAUGAAGAAGGCCUUCGGGUUGUAAAGUACUUUCAGCGGGGAGGAAGGCGAUAAGGUUAAUAACCUUGUCGAUUGACGUUACCCGCAGAAGAAGCACCGGCUAACUCCGUGCCAGCAGCCGCGGUAAUACGGAGGGUGCAAGCGUUAAUCGGAAUUACUGGGCGUAAAGCGCACGCAGGCGGUCUGUCAAGUCGGAUGUGAAAUCCCCAGGCUCAACCUGGGAACUGCAUUCGAAACUGGCAGGCUAGAGUCUUGUAGAGGGGGGUAGAAUUCCAGGUGUAGCGGUGAAAUGCGUAGAGAUCUGGAGGAAUACCGGUGGCGAAGGCGGCCCCCUGGACAAAGACUGACGCUCAGGUGCGAAAGCGUGGGGAGCAAACAGGAUUAGAAACCCGUGUAGUCCCAU